AGCUCAUGCAAUUAUGAAGAUGGCACGAGCUCGCGUGCAUCAUCAAAAAGUCGGCGGGAGGAUUUUGGGUUACCUCCGCCGAUUCGGUCGCCCUAUAUAGCCGCCUUCACCUCACCGUCUUAACUCCCACCAUCAUUCUCCCCCCUUUCAAGCUUUCCCUCCAACGUGGAUUAGCACCGUCUAGCAGGUAAACAGUGCUUCUUCUCUGCGGCCGGUAGUCCACGACGGCGAUGACUUGCAUGUCCUCCUCUUUUCCGACCUGUUCUGUGUCUCCCUCGAGCUGCGUGAUGGCAUAUGUGAGUUCAAUCAUCCUGCUUCUAAGUACCUGUUCUAGUUAAAUCUGAGAGCAUGUGAUAGAGUUUGAUCCGUGACCAUCUUGUAGCAUUGUACAUUGCCGAUCUAUAAGAAUGUGACCAUCAUCUUGUAGUAUUGUACACUGACCAUCUUGUGCCAUCAUGCGUAUACGGACGGACGAGCACAUGACGGGUCAUGUCAAUGGCCGCAGCUCAGUUGAUCAGCCGUUCCCGGUUAGAAACCGAAUAAUAAUAAGUGAGUUCUGGUACCGCAAAGUCACGUCGUUGGUAGCAGCAGUUAACCCCAACACAACCACUUUUUUACCGGAGGCGGGAUGUACCGGAGCCGCAUCCGCCGUUGGCGUUGUUUGCGAUUCGUGCCUUCCGAUGGCCCACAUGUUUGUAUAUUAGCGUAUUCAUCUGCCCGAGCCGCUGUAUUGCCCAUUACGUCCUAUCAUUGGUUGGCCCUACUUUAUAUUUAGCUCCUUGUUUUUACCCCCCUCAGUUCUCACCCACCCCCCGCGACCCUAUCUUCUUCUUCCAUCGGCGUCCAUGAUUCAUCCGUCGCCAUCUCCUCCGUCGCCGGGCCGCGUUCUUAGCGGCUGAACUGGUUGAUUUCUUCCCCGCCGCCUCCGCCGCCGGGGCCGCGUUCUUGGCGGCUCACCACUCGCAUUUCUUCCCCUCCGACUGACCGACUUCCGCCGCCCUCAUUAGUUCGUCAAGAUGACUAAUUCUGCACGCCGUCGCCGGAAAUCUCCAACCUUUCAUACAACUAACUCUGAUGAAAGUUGUAGUGUGGACAUGAGUGAUAGUGACGGCUCGUCUCAAUCAAAAUCAACCAGGAAUAGCCGUAGAAGAUCUCCCAAGAAACUUAAGAGAGAAGCUACCGCCCAAGUUAAGCAGAUCAUCAACUGGAAAUGUGAUCCAAACAAGAUAAGCGCCAUUAUGAAAGUCCUUUGUCAAGGAAAAGUUCUGCUUGUGUUUCAUGGAAGUCAUUCUUUGCGCCUACUUAGCUCCAACGACUGGUUACCAAAUUAAUAGAAGUUACCUGCUAGGAGCUUUGAAGGACUUGAGCGACAUACCUCGUAUGAAUUGGUGUCGUUUUGCUGCUGAGUACCUUAUCAAGGCAAUUCGUGAGUCAAGGGAAAACAAAGUGCACAACCUGAAUGUCGGAGGAUGCAUUCAUAUUCUACAUCUCAUAUAUGUGGACCUACUUAAAUCAGAUUUAGUAACAAUACCAGAGGGUUGCCCAAGGAUUAAAUAUGUGGGUUCAGCGGUACUGGAACAAAUCGAUCAUACUGGACGAUGAAAAGUUAGCAAUGUUCCCAACUGAGGAAGACCAUAAUGAUGAUCUUGAUGAUAACGACAAAUCUACACAUUCCACCCCACCAGUAACAGCUAAUAUAAGUACUGUACCUUGCCAGGAGAAACAAAGAAUUCCUCCACAGGUAGUACAAGCUUCAAGAAAGCGUCCGUCACAUCA